AGAGUUUGAUCCUGGCUCAGGAUGAACGCUGGCGGCGUGCUUAACACAUMGCAAGUCGAACGAACCUUCGGGUUAGUGGCGGACGGGUGAGUAACGCGUGAGAAUCUGCCCUCAGGAGGGGGACAACAGCUGGAAACGGCUGCUAAUACCCCAUAUGCCGCGAGGUGAAAUGAAUUUCGCCUGAGGAUGAGCUCGCGUCUGAUUAGCUAGUUGGUGUAGGUAAUGGCUCACCAAGGCAUCGAUCAGUAGCUGGUCUGAGAGGAUGAUCAGCCACACUGGGACUGAGACACGGCCCAGACUCCUACGGGAGGCAGCAGUGGGGAAUUUUCCGCAAUGGGCGAAAGCCUGACGGAGCAACGCCGCGUGAGGGAUGAAGGCCUCUGGGCUGUAAACCUCUUUUAUCAAGGAAGAAGAUCUGACGGUACUUGAUGAAUAAGCCACGGCUAAUUCCGUGCCAGCAGCCGCGGUAAUACGGGAGUGGCAAGCGUUAUCCGGAAUUAUUGGGCGUAAAGCGUCCGCAGGCGGCCCUUCAAGUCUGCUGUUAAAAAGUGGAGUUUAACACCAUCAUGGCAGUGGAAACUGUUGGGCUUGAGUGUGGUAGGGGCAGAGGGAAUUCCCGGUGUAGCGGUGACAUGCGUAGAUAUCGGGAAGAACACCAGUGGCGAAGGCGCUCUGCUGGGCCAUCACUGACGCUCAUGGACGAGCCAGGGAGCGAAAGGGAUUAGAUACCCCUGUAGUCCUGGCCGCAACGAUGAACACUAGGUGUCGGGGGAAUCGACCCCCUCGGUGUCGUAGCCAACGCGUUAAGUGUUCCGCCUGGGGAGUACGCACGCAAGUGUGAAACUCAAAGGAAUUGACGGGGGCCCGCACAAGCGGUGGAGUAUGUGGUUUAAUUCGAUGCGACGCGAAGAACCUUACCAGGGUUUGACAUCCUGCGAAUCUCUUGGAAACAGGAGAGUGCCUUCGGGAACGCAGUGACAGGUGGUGCAUGGCUGUCGUCAGCUCGUGUCGUGAGAUGUUGGGUUAAGUCCCGCAACGAGCGCAACCCACGUCUUUAGUUGCCAGCAUUUAGUUGGGCACUCUAGAGAGACUGCCGGUGAUAAACCGGAGGAAGGUGUGGAUGACGUCAAGUCAUCAUGCCCCUUACAUCCUGGGCUACACACGUACUACAAUGCUACGGACAAAGGGCUGCAAGUUCGCGAGGACAAGCAAAUCCCAUAAACCGUGGCUCAGUUCAGAUCGUAGGCUGCAACUCGCCUACGUGAAGGCGGAAUCGCUAGUAAUCGCAGGUCAGCAUACUGCGGUGAAUACGUUCCCGGGCCUUGUACACACCGCCCGUCACACCAUGGAARUUAGCCACGCCCGAAGCCGUUACUCCAACCCUUGUGGARUKRACGUCGAAGGUGGGGCUGAUGACUGGGGUGAAGUCGUAACAAGGUAACC
rnacentral:rRNA from 1 species